rnacentral:rRNA from 1 species
GUGCCAGCAGCCGCGGUAAUACCGGCAGCCCGAGUGAUGGCCGAUCUUAUUGGGCCUAAAGCGUCCGUAGCUGGCCGACCAAGUCUCCCGGGAAAUCCACCCGCCCAACGGGUGGGCGUCCGACGGAAACUGCAUAGCUUGGGACCGGAAGGCUCGAAGGGUACGUGCGGGGUAGGAGUGAAAUCCCAUAAUCCCGCACGGACCACCGAUGGCGAAAGCACUUCGAGAAAACGGAUCCGACAGUGAGGGACGAAAGCCAGGGUCUCCAACCGGAUUAGAAACCCCAGUAGUCC